CCGGCUCCGGUUCACGUCGCGCGCGGCGACCCGGCGGCC
rnacentral:ncRNA from 1 species